CCUACGGGGGGCAGCAGUGGGGAAUAUUGCACAAUGGGCGCAAGCCUGAUGCAGCCAUGCCGCGUGUGUGAAGAAGGCCUUCGGGUUGUAAAGCACUUUCAGCGGGGAGGGAGGCGGUGAGGUUAAUAACCUCAUCGAUUGACGUUACCCGCAGAAGAAGCACCGGCUAACUCCGUGCCAGCAGCCGCGGUAAUACGGAGGGUGCAAGCGUUAAUCGGAAUUACUGGGCGUAAAGCGCACGCAGGCGGUCUGUCAAGUCGGAUGUGAAAUCCCCGGGCUCAACCUGGGAACUGCAUUCGAAACUGGCAGGCUAGAGUCUUGUAGAGGGGGGUAGAAUUCCAGGUGUAGCGGUGAAAUGCGUAGAGAUCUGGAGGAAUACCGGUGGCGAAGGCGGCCCCCUGGACAAAGACUGACGCUCAGGUGCGAAAGCGUGGGGAGCAAACAGGAUUAGAUACCCGAGUAGUC
rnacentral:rRNA from 1 species